rnacentral:rRNA from 1 species
CGAAUGAAGUUCCUUCGGGAAUGGAUUUAGCGGCGGACGGGUGAGUAACACGUGGGCAACCUGCCUCAUAGAGGGGAAUAGCCUUCCGAAAGGGAGAUUAAUACCGCAUAAGAUUGUAGUACCGCAUGGUACAGCAAUUAAAGGAGCAAUCCGCUAUGAGAUGGGCCCGCGGCGCAUUAGCUAGUUGGUGAGGUAACGGCUCACCAAGGCGACGAUGCAUAGCCGGCCUGAGAGGGCGGACGGCCACAUUGGGACUGAGACACGGCCCAAACUCCUACGGGAGGCAGCAGUAGGGAAUUUUCGUCAAUGGGGGGAACCCUGAACGAGCAAUGCCGCGUGAGUGAGGAAGGUCUUCGGAUCGUAAAGCUCUGUUGUAAGAGAAAAACGGCACUCAUAGGGAAUGAUGAGUGAGUGAUGGUAUCUUACCAGAAAGUCACGGCUAACUACGUGCCAGCAGCCGCGGUAAUACGUAGGUGGCGAGCGUUAUCCGGAAUGAUUGGGCGUAAAGGGUGCGUAGGUGGCAGAUCAAGUCUGGAGUAAAAGGUAUGGGCUCAACCCGUACUGGCUCUGGAAACUGAUCCGCUAGAGAACAGAAGAGGACGGCGGAACUCCAUGUGUAGCGGUAAAAUGCGUAGAUAUAUGGAAGAACACCGGUGGCGAAGGCGGCCGUCUGGUCUGGAUUCUGACACUGAAGCACGAAAGCGUGGGGAGCAAAUAGGAUUAGAUACCCUAGUAGUCCACGCCGUAAACGAUGAGAACUAGGUGUUGGGGGAAUAACUCAGUGCCGCAGUAACGCAGUAAGUCUCCG